GUGCCAGCAGCCGCGGUAAUACGGAGGGUGCGAGCGUUAAUCGGAAUUACUGGGCGUAAAGCGCAUGCAGGUGGUUUGUUAAGUCAGAUGUGAAAGCCCGGGGCUCAACCUCGGAACUGCAUUUGAAACUGGCAAACUAGAGUACUGUAGAGGGGGGUAGAAUUUCAGGUGUAGCGGUGAAAUGCGUAGAGAUCUGAAGGAAUACCGGUGGCGAAGGCGGCCCCCUGGACAGAUACUGACACUCAGAUGCGAAAGCGUGGGGAGCAAACAGGAUUAGAUACC
rnacentral:rRNA from 1 species